CAGAGUUAGGUUGGGUAGAUUUAUUUGUAAUAAAUGAAACACAAGGGGAUGAAUGUAAUAAGAGCAGACGCUAGGGUCGUGGAUAUAAAUUUCCCUUUAUUUUUUAUUUAUUUAUUUAUUUUUUUUUAAGUUUCCUUUAUCGGUUAUAAAUACAUUUUUUUAGACUAAUUUAUAUCCCCUCCCUUGAACUUUACUCUUAUUAUAUUCCUUUCUCAGUAUUUUUAAAAGUUACAUUCACGUCCCGUUAAAUGACGUUGUUAGUGUGGUGUUAAUUUAGAAUUAGGAAAAUUUACAUUCAUCACCCCUCAUGUUUACACUAAUUACAUCAUCCCCUCACGUUUCAUUUUUCAUAUUUAAACCAAAAAAUUUCACACCGUGAUUGGGGUGUUAGUUUUUUUAAAAUGAAAAGACAUUUUUACCAUUGAAUUAAAAAUCCUAAGUCUAUCCUUUCCUUGCGACAUCUUCAAACCUAAAAUCCCUAAAUUCCAAAAUCAUAGGUUGGUGCAUUUUCUGGCGAAGUGAGGAGAAAUCCGGCGCAGUGAGUGAUGAUGAUGGUGAUGGUGAUGCCGCGACGGAGGAGGAGGAGGCGUGUAAGGUGGAGCAUCGGUAUGGUGUGGCCUUUCGACAUGAAAGGGAAGAUCACAAUAUGCAAAGAUGAAUUAGAAGACAUCUUCCUCUUCUUCUUGGUUUCUCUAGUUCCCCUUCCUUUCUGGCUUCUGGUGCUCUGUUUUGCUAUAUACUCUGCUAAAGCUAUUCCAUGCUUACAUGCUCAGGUUACCCACUAAAGCUGUAUUACGAACAACAAUGGGAUUAUAACAUAUCGUCCUCAAGCCGGUUUAGUGUCUCUGACAGGUUGAGGGAUUUUAGGUUUGAGACCUCCGCCGCCGCAGUUCUCUUUCACACGCUGGCCUUCUUGCCACGCGCCACCCACCGCCGUCUCCAGACAUGGCAACUCAUUAUCUGCCUGGGCUCUUCCGACCGCUCCGUUGAUUCUUCCCUCGCCACCGAUCUCGGCCUUCGCCUCAUCCACGUAGAUGCAUAGUGUGCGGAAGAGAUCGCCGACACCGUCAUGGCUCUCUUCCUUGGCUUGCUUCGCCGGACUCACUUACUUUCUCGCCACGCAUUCUUGGCGAUCUGAUCUUAUGCCAAUAUCGGUCUGUUUGAUCUGAUUCUUAUUGAAUCCGUCUUUUAUUAUUAUUGAUCUGAUUCGCGUUUCCCUUUGCUUCGCCGGAUUAUGAUUUGGGGAUUUAGGGAUUUAGGGAUUUUCGGAUUGAAGAUGUCAUAAGGAUAAAAUGGUCUUUACACUUAGGAUUUUUGGUUCAAGGAGAAAAUACCUAUUUUGCCGUCGUGUCUUCUCGUACCAUUUUCCCCCGAAUUGAAGAGAGAUUAGGGUAUGAGAAAAUCUGAAUGAGGUAUUCAUCAUCUCUGACGAAGGUGAGUUGAUAAUCAAGAAACGGCUGUGACGACGGCGACGACGACAACCUCGAAGUCUUCAUCAAGUCUGGCCGUCCCAAGGACCGCAUCUACCCCGGUAGGCUUCCCCAGCCAAUGCCUCUGCAAGUGGGUCAUGGAUCACAUGCUUCCACAAGGCUCUUCCUGUCGCCGUCUAGCAUGCGGUGCGCUGGAGGGAGUCCCACUCAUUGUUGAUGGUUGCCUGAAUUGCUCUAACUAUAUCAGUCAACAGCAAGUUUGAGAGUUGCAACUCUGACCAUGCCAAGUCCUCCUGUGAUUGUCCAUUCUCUUUUCCAGACAUAAUGUUCCAUAAUGGCAUCGAACUUGCAACCCAAAUUCUAAAUGGCUUCACAGAGCUAAGAAGCCAAAGAAGGGAUGGAGAAGGUAAUGCCUCCACUCCCAAUUGUCAAAAAAAAAAAUUCACGGAUUCUGUUGAACUAUAGCUUCAUUGGCCACUACAACAAAGCUCUGAAAUUCGAGGGACUAAGGGAAAGACGAAAGAUGAAACACUGAAUAGAAGAAAGUAGAGUAUAUGUCACUUGCCGAUGAACCGCAAGAGCAAAGAAGGUUUGACGGUCUUGGCAGCACCAGAGUGUUGUUUGCCGUUUGUUGUUGCCGUUCGUUGUUUGGUGUUUAGCAUUCACUGUUGGCCGUUCUCCGUUCACCAUCCGGAUGUAUGGGUUUUGUUUC